GUGACCUCAAAUCAGGUAGGACUACCCGCCGAACUUAAGCAUAUCAAUAAGCGGAGGAAAAGAAACUAACAAGGAUUCCCCUAGUAACUGCGAGUGAAGCGGGAAAAGCUCAAAUUUAAAAUCUGACAGUCUUUGGCUGUCCGAGUUGUAAUCUAGAGAAGUGUUAUCCGCGCUGGACCGUGUACAAGUCUCCUGGAAUGGAGCGUCAUAG
rnacentral:rRNA from 1 species